rnacentral:rRNA from 1 species
AACGAACGCUGGCGGCGUGCCUAAUACAUGCAUGUCGAGCGCAGGAAAUCGACGGAACCCUUCGGGGGGAAGUCGACGGAAUGAGCGGCGGACGGGUGAGUAACACGUAAAGAACCUGCCCUCAGGUCUGGGAUAACCACGAGAAAUCGGGGCUAAUACCGGAUGGGUCAUCGGACCGCAUGGUCCGAGGAUGAAAGGUCCUUCGGCGUCGCCUGGGGAUGGAUUUGCGGUGCAUUAGCUAGUUGGUGGGGUAAUGGCCCACCAAGGCGACGAUGCAUAGCCGACCUGAGAGGGUGAUCGGCCACACUGGGACUGAGACACGGCCCAGACUCCUACGGGAGGCAGCAGUAGGGAAUCUUCCACAAUGGACGAAAGUCUGAUGGAGCAACGCCGCGUGAACGAUGAAGGCCUUCGGGUCGUAAAGUUCUGUUGUAAGGGAAGAACAAGUGCCGCAGGCAAUGGCGGCACCUUGACGGUACCUUGCGAGAAAGCCACGGCUAACUACGUGCCAGCCGCCGCCGUAA